rnacentral:rRNA from 1 species
CCCUUAGAUGUUCUGGGCCGCACGCGCGCUACACUGAUGCAUUCAACGAGUCUAAAACCUGCUCUGAUAGGGGUGGGUAAUCUUUUGAAUGUGCAUCGUGAUUGGGAUAGAAGAUUGCAAUUUUUCAUCUUCAACGAGGAAUGCCUAGUAAACGCAAGUCAUCAGCUUGCAUUGAUUACGUCCCUGCCCUUUGUACACACCGCCCGUCGCUCCUACCGAUUGAAUGAUCCGAUGAAUAUCAUGGAUUGAGGAUUAUAGCAGGUUCGCCUGUCUUGAUCUUCGAGAAGUGAAGUAAAUCUUAUCAUUUAGAGGAAGGAGAAGUCGUAACA